rnacentral:rRNA from 1 species
GUUAAGUUAAUAAGGGCGCACGGUGGAUGCCUUGGCACUAGGAGCCGAAGAAGGACGUGACAAACGACGAUAUGCCUUGGGUAGCUGUAAGUAAGCGAUGAUCCAGGGAUUUCCGAAUGGGGGAACCCAACAGGUACUACCUGUUACCCGCAUCUGUUAAGGAUGUGAGGAGGAAGACGCAGUGAACUGAAACAUCUAAGUAGCUGCAGGAAGAGAAAGCAAAAGCGAUUCCGUGAGUAGUGGCGAGCGAAAGCGGAGGAGGCUAAACCGUGUGUGUGUUCAAGCCGGCAGGUGUUGCAUGUGCGGGGUUGUGGGGGCCUUGUGGUUCUGCUGCCGCAGGAUUGGCCAGUGAGAAAUGUUGCGUGAAGGUGAAGCGUCUGGGAAGGCGUACCGGAGGGGGUGAGAGUCCU